UACGUAGGGUGCAAGCGUUGUCCGGAAUUAUUGGGCGUAAAGAGCUCGUAGGUGGUUUGUCGCGUUGUUCGUGAAAACUCACAGCUUAACUGUGGGCGUGCGGGCGAUACGGGCAGACUGGAGUACUGCAGGGGAGACUGGAAUUCCUGGUGUAGCGGUGGAAUGCGCAGAUAUCAGGAGGAACACCGGUGGCGAAGGCGGGUCCUGC
rnacentral:rRNA from 1 species